CUGCUGACUUACAAUUUCUCCCGAUGUAUAUGUACCAUGUGUUUCUCUGGUUGUAGGCAGUAUAUGGUAGCAGUUCCUGUUGUUCUCGAAGCUAGAGCUGAGACCAAAUUCUGUGUGAAUCUCCGGCAGCCCAGCCACUCUCUCGUCAUGACCGUGACUCUGAUCUCCCAAGAAAAGCAAACGACUCUCCUCAAGGAGACAUACAGCACAGAAGUUCAUACCUGCAUUGAUUUUAAGGUCAGGACUCUAGUUGUACUCUAGUUGUACUCUAGUUGCGAAUUGUUUUGACCCGUAUGGGGGUUUUUCAUUAUACAGUUCUAACACUACUCGACCACUGGGAGAAAGUUCAGUCUCCCAGUGGCAUUUGAUGUUAACCAGCAUAACAAACUGCUCUACCAGGAGAAGACACUGCAGGAUGUGACAGGAAAGUACAGUCUGGGCGUGAAAGGAACGGCAUUUGCUGCAAUGCAGAUUUCUCUUCUUUAUAGCAUCCCAAUUCCUGGGAAUAUAACUGCUCUCAGUGUUGAGGUAAAACCAGAGGCCAACUGCACCAUCAAAUCCACCAGACCUAAACUCACUCUGAAGAUAAAAUCUUUUUAAGUGAUGAUCAAAAACCAGGUCCACAAUGCAUAAAUGCAUCAAGUCAAGAGUUAUAGUGGGAAGGAGACCAAUACCAACAUGGUGAUCCUGGACAUCAGGAUGUCCAGGAUCUGGAGGUAACUUAUUACUGUAGUUUUAACUUGUAAUAUUUGUGUCAGGUGUUGACAUCAUGGUAACCCAGCUGAAUAUCAUGUC